rnacentral:tRNA from 1 species
GGGCGAUUAGCUCAGUUGGCUAGAGCGUCUCGUUUACACCGAGAAGGUCGGGGGUUCGAGCCCCUCAUCGCCCA